GACGUAGGGCGCGAGCGUUGUCCGGAUUUAUUGGGCGUAAAGAGCUCGUAGGCGGCUUGUCGCGUCGACUGUGAAAACCCGCGGCUCAACCGCGGGCCUGCAGCCGAUACGGGCAGGCUGGAGUUCGGUAGGGGAGACUGGAAUUCCUGGUGUAGCGGUGAAAUGCGCAGAUAUCAGGAGGAACACCAAUGGCGAAGGCAGCUCGCUGGGACGGUAUUGACGCUGAGACGCGAAAGCGUGGGGAGCAAACAGG
rnacentral:rRNA from 1 species